GUGUUCUUAGAAUGCAGAGAUGGUUGGUCGGCAUCUCCCCAAACAGGGACAGGAGCAGCCUUAGGUUUACUUGUCAACAACCCAUCUGGUUAUGGCCACCCACUGCCCUUU